CCUACGGGCGGCUGCAGUGGGGAAUAUUGGACAAUGGGGGCAACCCUGAUCCAGCCAUGCCGCGUGUGUGAAGAAGGCCCUCGGGUUGUAAAGCACUUUCAGUGAGGAAGAACGCCUGGUGGUUAAUACCCAUCAGGAAAGACAUCACUCACAGAAGAAGCACCGGCUAACUCCGUGCCAGCAGCCGCGGUAAUACGGAGGGUGCGAGCGUUAAUCGGAAUUACUGGGCGUAAAGCGCGCGUAGGUGGCUUGAUAAGCCGGUUGUGAAAGCCCCGGGCUCAACCUGGGAACGGCAUCCGGAACUGUCAAGCUAGAGUGCAGGAGAGGAAGGUAGAAUUCCCGGUGUAGCGGUGAAAUGCGUAGAGAUCGGGAGGAAUACCAGUGGCGAAGGCGGCCUUCUGGACUGACACUGACACUGAGUUGCGAAAGCGUGGGUAGCAAACAGGAUUAGAUACCCUUGUAGUC
rnacentral:rRNA from 1 species